ensembl:lncRNA
CCCCCCCCCCCUCCACAAAUUAAAUCUAAAAUAACCCUUUAUUUCCCAACCUUUGCGAGCCACGGCGCGAAGGAAAUGGCCCUAGACACGUUCUCUCAGGCCAGAUGUGGCAGCAACAUCUGCACGUUGAAGCGGAAUAAAAAGCGCACCGUUACCGCCGAGUGGCGCACCGCGCUGGACGCGCUCUGCCGGAUCUCGGCCGCGCUCCCCGGCUUCAGCAGGUUCUUGGUGAAUCUCCGGGUCGAUUCCGCUGCCAUGGCUUCGUCGGCGCCCUCGGACAGACGUCUGCGAACGCCCCCUUUCAAGGACCGUCGCCACCGACCACCGGCGGCCAGAAGGGCAGAACGGCGCCUAGAUAACCGGGGUGUGGGGCAGGAACGAAAGUAAAAACCCCAGAGAGACCAGCACCCACUCGCACCAUUCGUUUGUCGACAGUAAAAUAACGAGCCCAGCAUCUCCGGGUUCGAGCUGCCGUGCUCUCGCCGACAUGAAAGCAGAUCGUCGGUCAGUACAUCCACUGCCAAGGAGGUGAAGAUCCCGCUAUUUCAUCGGGUGCUUCAUACAAUGAAUAGUGAAGAACAGGUAAGAUGAAAGCAAAACGUGUGCAAAUGUGGCAUCAGAAAAAUGGGGAUUGUCUUAAUUACCCCUCAUCAAAAUUCAGAUGGAGUAGAUGCCGAAAAAAAUCUGUCCGAUGGCGCCCCCUGUCGUCCAUAGGACUGUAGUCAUGGGUCGUGAGUAUUGCUGGUCAGUUAUAGAACCUAUUUACAUCUACGCCUUAACCAUUUACAUUUACAGCAUUAUCUUAUCCAGAGCAACAUACAAUUAGUAGUUACAGGAACAGUCCCCCCUGGAGACACUCAGGGUUAAGUGUCUUGCUCAGGGACACAAUGGUUGUAAGUGGGGUUUGAACCCAGGUCUUCUGGUUCAUAGGCGAGUGUGUUACCCACUACCAAACGUCACCAUCCAGAGUGUCAGUUAGUACUAUUAUUACAGGGACAGUCCCCAGGGUUAAGUGUUUUCCUAGAGGGACACAAUGGUAGUAAGUGGGGAUGCCCGCUCUGGUUCUGUUUAUAGUGAUGGACUCUGUGCUGAAGGUGACCAGGACUCCGCUGGAACCCUUUGAAGGAUCACUGGCCUGUUGGUGGUUCACAGCAGGCCUGGAAUCUGAAGCUCUCCAAUUGCUUCAGCCCUAAUGAAGCUGGUGCUGAAGGGAUCAGCACUUCUUGAUGUCUUGGUGUUGUUGGAUUGACCCUUUGCUGUUUUUUGCAGUUUUGUGUAAGUGUUACUUCUGAACAUUUACAUUUAUAGCAUUUAUCAGACUCCCUUAUCCAGAGCACCUUGCACUCAGUAGUUACAGGGACAGUCCCCCUGGAGACACUUAGGGUUAAGUGUCUUGCUCAGGGACACAAUGGUAGUAAGUGAGAUUUGAACCCGGGUCUUCUGGUUCAUAGGCGAGUUUGUUUGUAUUAG